ACAUGCAAGUCGAGCGAACGGACGAGAAGCUUGCUUCUCUGAUGUUAGCGGCGGACGGGUGAGUAACACGUGGAUAACCUACCUAUAAGACUGGGAUAACUUCGGGAAACCGGAGCUAAUACCGGAUAAUAUUUUGAACCGCAUGGUUCAAAAGUGAAAGACGGUCUUGCUGUCACUUAUAGAUGGAUCCGCGCUGCAUUAGCUAGUUGGUAAGGUAACGGCUUACCAAGGCAACGAUGCAUAGCCGACCUGAGAGGGUGAUCGGCCACACUGGAACUGAGACACGGUCCAGACUCCUACGGGAGGCAGCAGUAGGGAAUCUUCCGCAAUGGGCGAAAGCCUGACGGAGCAACGCCGCGUGAGUGA
rnacentral:rRNA from 1 species